rnacentral:lncRNA from 1 species
CCACGAUCCACUAAGAUCCAGCCCCACGUCGCAUGAAUUCCUCCCUCCCCCCUCCACCCCCGACAACGGCUUCAGGCUUGGACCCGCUACGACGACCAAGGACAAAUGCGCUCAAGGCUUGGGAAGAAAUUAACUUCCAUUGUCGGAACACUUGUUAAGGAUUACAAGAGACCAUAUCGCAAGUUUAUCUUCUUAGGUAUGGUCCACAAUGGAAGAGAGAUCUCCUAACUUGACCAAGCGGAUGUACACACUAUCAUUUGGCACGAAUCAGGCCAAGUCAGAUAGGUGCUAGUGGAGUUCCAUAUUCCACUACGUCCGGUAUGUAACUCAUAAUCGACCACCGGGGAGGGACAUGUGUGGGAUGGAUCGAAGACAAGACAAUGGCCAACACACGCAUGGACAUACCGGCCACAGGGUACCAUUACGUGUUUGUUGGACCCAACACAUGAAAAUAGCUGCGUUGGCCAUGAAAAUGUUUCCUAUAGGUCACACCUAGUGGCAUCAAAACCAUUUAGUGCCACUAACUGGUUGUGAUGAUUGAUGUCACAAACGGUUCUUUGUGCGUAGCGAGUUUAUAGCUGUAAUUCAAUUGAACCUGUUCUAGUACCUUGAACAACUAGUUCUUGAUGAGUAGCCAGGAGUGACGUUCCAUUUGUAACUAUUUAUUCUCUAUUAGUCUAAUGUUGUGAUAAAUGAUUUGCGUUGUCAGUUUAUGCACUUUGGCAGCCUGGAUGUAUGUCUUUUGAAGUAUGUGUAACUUUCUCUAGAAUUGAGGAACUUUAAUUGACUAAGUGGUCUUGGAUUUACAGCAUCAACCACUAUAAUUAGCCAUUGCUCCAAUGGCCCAUUUUUUCCGUUAAUGCUAUAUGAUCCGACACCAAUAUGUGUACAAACAUAAGAGCAUCUGACGAGUAUCAUUUUACGGUGAAGACAUUGGAUCCCCACUCGCACUAACACAUUGCAAAUGCGAAAAGCAGGACCGGGUCUCCCCCCUGCAAUAAAUGCCAUUUUAACUGGUCCUAUAAACUGUUUUCUAGUGGUGUGAUGUAGUCUGUUGGAAUCAGCACCGUGGAACCAUCUGACAUUCAUACAUUAGCUUCACCAAACAAAUAUUCUUCUGUGCAUUAAAGCUUCAUACUUCAACAUGUACAAGUUCUCUAUGUAGGAUAUUUCAGCUAGAAGAUCUUCCCUUUCUUGAACUAGCCAUUUGAGCAUUAUUCAUUCUCAGGCCCAUUGUUCCAACGGCUUGCACGUUCUUGGAAUGUGUUAUCAUGGAAUGCUAGGGGUAUCGAUUCGUAGACAAGAUGGAAUGUCGUCAAGAGCAAAAUAUCUGAAUCCAACUGUGAUAUUGCCUGUUUACAAGACACCAAAAGGGAGUUUUUUUAUGCUAGAUAUAUUAGGAACUUCUAUCUCCCACAGUUAGAUUCUUUCGAUUUCCUCCCAUCUAUUGGCAACUCAGGGGGAACUAUUAUAGUGUGGAAUGGUUCCAAAUUCAAGGGGGAACCUAUCUUUCAAAAUCUUUAUGCCCACUUUGUAGAUUUUCAGUGCAAGCUAUCAGGGGAACGUUGGAUCCUCACGAAUAUCUACGCCCCAUGUACUCCGGAGGGGAAGCUAUCCUUUAUUGACUGGUUCAAAAGGGUUGAAAUACCAGAGGAAAAAAAUUGGCUAAUAGUUGGGGACUUCAACCUUCUUAGGAAGCCGGAUGACAGAAACAAUCCGGGGGAAACAAUCCGGGAGGAAAUGUUCAGGAAAUGCUUCUCUUCAAUGAAGCUAUUAGCAGGCUUAGGCUCACAAAAAUUCAGCUCAAAGGAUGCAAGUACACUUGGUCCAACAAACAGCAGAAUCCUCUUCUGGAGAGGCACGAUUGGUUCUUCAUAUCUAACCCUUGGACCAUCUCCUAUCCCAAUACUUAUGCCUCAUCGCUGUCCAGUGACUCCUCAUAUCAUGUUCCUUGUGUAGGCUCGAUCUCUAAUAGCAUUCCACAGCCACAAGUUUUUAGAUUUGAGAAUUAUUGGCUAGAACAUGAUCGGUUCCCAACCAUUCUCCAACAAGGUCGGGCAACUCCACUUCUAGGCACAGAUAGGGCAAAGAACAUCGGGGCCAAGUUCAAAAACCUGAGGAAGGUUUUCAGGAUCUAGAAAGCAUAGCUCCCCAGUUUGGCGAAAGCAAUCCAGAGCACCAAAGACACCAUUCAACUCCUUGACAUCAUCGAAGAACUUAGAGAUCUUACCCUGCAAGAAUGGAACUUUAGAGAAGUCAUCACAUCACAUCUGAAUAGCUUGCUCCACCAACAAAAAGUCUAUUGGCAGCAAAGAAGCUCCAUCAAUUGGGCCAAAAUGGGGGAUGAAUGUACAAAAUUCUGCCAUGCAAGGGCCUCAGUCAGAAAUAGAAUCAAUUAUAUCACUUCUUUAGUUGAUGCCAAUGGACAAAUUGUCUCUAAACAUGAAGCUAAAGCCAGGAUUCUUUGGGAAGCUUAUAAGGAAAGGAUGGGGAGAUUUGAAUUUACUCACAUGUACUUUGAUCUUUCUACUAUCUUGACAUCAGAUCCAAAUUUGGAAUGGCUAGAAUCUCCCUUUAUGAAAGCAGAGAUCGACACAAUUACAGGGGAACUUCCAAGUAACAAGUCCCAAGGCCUAGAUGGCUUGAAUGGAGAGUUUCUCAAGAGAUGUUGGGACUUGAUAGCUGAAGAUUUUUAUAGACUGUCUGAAGGUUUUCUUGACAUAAGUGUGUGUGUUCAGAGCAUUAAUGCUUCAUACAUCACACUAAUCCCCAUGAAAGACUGUCCCUCUCAAGUGGGAGACUUCACGCCAAUCUCCCUCCUAAACUCAACGAGCUAAUAACUAAAAUUCUAGCAGAAAGGCUACAACAGGUUAUCUUAAGACUAGUGUAUAAAAAUCAGUAUGGUUUCAUAAAGUCUAGAUCCAUACAAGACUGUUUAGCAUGGGCUUUUGAAUAUCUUCACAUCUGUAAAGCCUCAAAGAGAGAAUUAAUCAUCAGCAAGCUGGACUUUGAAAAAGCCUUUGAUAGGAUUGAGCACCAAGCCAUUUUGGAUAUCUUAAAACAUAAGGGCUUUGGGGACAGAUGGAUUGGGUGGAUAAAGGACAUUCUCAACACUAGAACAUCUUCAGUACUCCUCAAUGGUGUGCCAGGGAAAGUCUUUCAUUGCAGAAGAGGUGUCAGACAGGGGGAUCCUCUAUCCCCACUUCUAUUUGUGCUAGCACCGGACCUUUUUCAGUCAAUCCUAAAUAAAGCCAAAGAGGAAGGAAGCUUACACCUACCGAUCCCUGAAAGAGCUGGACCUGACUUCCCAGUUAUACAAUAUGCAGAUGACACCCUUCUGGUCAUGGAAGCAGAUCCUUCCCUGUUGUUGCAUCUCAAGCAUCUGCUUAAUCAGUUUGCGGAGUCAACUGGUCUUAAAGUAAACUACAACAAGACUGUUAUGGUACCUCUGAACACUUCUGAGGAUAAACUCCGACAACUUUCGUCAAUGUUCGAUUGCCAUGUCGGAAGCUUGCCACUCACCUACUUGGUGCUACCACUUGGUGCAACAAAGCCUAACAUUGAGGAAUUCCUUCCAUUAAUACAGAAGGUGGAGCGAAGAUUGGGAGGCAUCUCUAACAUGUUAUCUCAAGGGGGCAAACUCGAACAGGUAAAUUCAGUCUUUUCUUCCUCACCAAUGUUUCAUAUGGCAACCUUAAAGCUUCACAAGGGGGUUAUCACACAAUUAGAUAAAUAUAGGAAACACUAUCUCUGCAGAGGAUCUAAUUUGAAUUCUAGGAAACCCUCCAAGGCAGCUUGGCCUAUGGUGUGCCUACCAAAACAGCAAGGAGGACUUGGGGUUAUUAACCUGAACAGUCAAAAUGAUGCCCUUCUUCUCAAGUUCCUACACAAGUUCUUCACCAGAGCUGAUACUCCCUGGGUUCAUUUAUUCUAGGAUAAUUAUUAUUCUAAUGGGAAACUGCCUGGACAGCACAAAAAGGGCUCAUUCUGGUGGAGAGAUUUAGUCAAGCUACUGGACAAAUACGAAGGAAUAGUGUCGGCAUGGGUAUCGGAUGGCUCUACUGUAUUGUUCUGCAUGGACACAUGGAUUGAGCAGGUCCUCUACCUGGAAUUCCCCCAGUUAUUCUCUUAUGCCAAAAACAAACUGGUAUCAUAUAAGGAGGCUACAAGCAGAAUAUCACUGUCUCAAAAUUUUCACCUGCCACUCUCAGAAGAAGCUCAUCAGCAGUUGCUGAUUCUGCAGAAUAGAUUGAGGAAUACUGUGAGAGCUCAAGGCAGAGAUCAGUGGACUUACAUUUGGGGAAGCCCCCGCUUUUCGGUAGCAAAAACUUAUAAAGUCAUAACAGGCACAAGAACCAUACAUCCAAUUCAUAGAUGGAUAUGGAAAUCUAAAUGCCAAAAGAAGCACAAGAUAUUUUUCUAGCUAUUAAUUAAAUUCAGACUGAGCACCAAAGACAUUCUAAGCAGAAAAACAAUGUAUUUGGAUACUUAUGCUUAUGUGCUUUGCAUCCUCCAGAAAAAGGAGACAAUGCCGCACUUAUUCUUGAGAUGCAACUUCUCGAAAGCUUGUUGGAGCACUUCCUCCAGGCCACCCUUUCGGAUUUUUAACUCAAUCAAGGAUAAACUGAACGUUCCCUUCUACAUGGAGAUCAUUAUUUUAAUGGCCCGGAGCAUUUGGUCCGUGAGGAAUGACUGGACCUUCAACAAUGUCCCCCCUCGGUACAGAGCUGCAAAAGGAAAUUCAUGGAAAAAAUGAAUACCGUCUGUCUACAUAGAGCGAAAUCUUCCCUAGCUCUUGCCAUGAUGGAAUGGUUGUAAUCUUUUCUUUCUUUUUUCUUCCUUUGUUGUUGCCUUUUCUACCUUCUACUUCUGUUGUUUCUUGGACUCGCCUUUCAUUUAAUAUAUUUCAGUAGGAGCUUGCCCCUCCCGUUCCUUCAAAAAAAAAACUUCGAGCACUUCUCCAUGGGCUUCAUCACCAUAGUUUCGAUUUGGGCAAUUUCAUUGCACCGAACCUUCCAGCUUGCAUUUUCUUAACUGAAUCUCGAGCAUGGGGCAAUAUUCUGGCAUCUACAACGGACCUGCCAUCAAGCAUUCCAAUGUAUAGAUCUAUCCUGUUUGUUUGCCUAAUAUUCGGAUGCAAUACUCCGCCGUGUGUAAAAAAAUCCAAGGCCAACGGACCAUACCGUGUUAACAAUUUUAGUGCCUAAUCCAAUACAAAAUUAGUUCCAGUUUGUACGGCUACUCAUUCAUUGCAGUCUUCAGACCAAAUCUACGGUGACAUAUUUUUGGAAAUAAGCUUGUCGAAAUCACUAUAUUGUAAUUCAAUCACCAAAAUCUGAACUAUGGUCUGAUGGAGCCAAUUCUCCGUGGGCUUUAUUACCAAAGUUUCACCUUAGGCAAUUUCAUUUCACCUAACCUUCCAGCUUGCAUUUUCUUAACUGAAUGUUAAGCACGGUGCAAUACUCUGGCAUGUGCAACUGACCUGCCACCAAGCACUGCGAUGCAUGGUUCUAUCCUCUUUGGUUGCCUAAUAUUCUGUAAAAAAAAUAUUCAAGGCCAACAGACCAUACCGUGUUAAAAAUUUUAGUGCCCAAUCCGAUACAAAAUCAGUUCCAGCAAUGACGGCUAUUCAUCCAUUGCAGUGUUUGGAACACCUCCACAGUGACUAUAUUGUAAUUCAAUCACCAAAAUCCGAAACUAUGGUCUAGUGAAGCUAUAUUGUGUACGAAAUAUUAAUUCAUGGGAUUUGUCAACGAUUUUAUGAAGCUGUAUAUAUGAUACCUUCCACUACGGGAUUUGUGUACAAAAUAUUAAUUCAUGAGAUUUGUCCAUGAUUUUAGGAAGCUAUGAUAUCUUCAACUACCGGAUUGCGUAUAUAAGAUAAUCUUCACCAGUUAUCACAGGAGGAAGCACGCAUUAAAUAAUAAAUAACUAAUGCUGAUUCAACUCUGAGAUGAAAAGGAUUCCGUUCUCAAAAAUCGAAAAAAAGGUAACGUGCUCAUAACAAUGUCGACUCUUCACAUCUGAGAAGCUUAUAAGUGAACUACCUACCGUAUGUUAUUAAAACAUUUUUGCUGCCUAUAAAUUGGGCAUCAUUUCAGCAGACCACCACGGCACCUGAGCUUGCCAUCUUUUCCUGCUCAUCAUAUGUCCCGUAGCUACUAGCUACUAGCUAAGCCAUCUUUUCCUGCUCAUCAUAUGUCCCGUAGCUACUAGCUACUAGCUAAGCCAUCUUUUCCUGCUCACUCAUUUGUCCCGUAGCUACUAGCUAAGCCACCAUAUCAUCCAUGGCUUCUGGUGCCUCCACCACGCUGAAGAUGGCCUCUAUCGCCGCUUGCAUCCUGCUGGUCCUGCUGUCCAAUGGCCACCCUACCGCGGCAGCCGUUGAUUGUAUUGCGGCUUGCAAAGAACCGUGCCAGGGUUUUUCUAACGGGCUCUGCGCGGGUGGAGCCACCAGCGGUUGUACGACUACGGCAGCAGCUACAGCAUGCCGCAAUUUGGCGUUCUCGCAGUGUGCGAACACCUGCUUCACAGUUUGCACUGCUGUGAGCAUCGCGCCUUGCACUUGAAGAUGCAUUCGUGUUCCUACUUCCACAUUAUUGUUACUGCAGAAUAAUAUGGGUCAGUGCACACAAGCAUACAUGAUGAGCCACUGUCGUUUUUCCAUUUUGUCAUUUAUUUAUUGAAGGCAAUGUACGUUUUUCCAUUUGAUCAUUUACUUAUUGAAGGCAAUGUACGUGUCUAUCUCCUGUGUGGUUGAGCAUGUCAUCUUGGAAUUCUGUCCAAAGUUUUACAUACCACCUUGUAUUGUUGUGUGUGGGUAUCAAUAUAAUUUAUGAACUAUCUUCCUUUAUCAUAGACAUAUCAACUUUCCACUGCAAGAAACUAUUUAAUCUGUGACGAAACAAAAUUGUCACAUAUCACUAAAAAAUCGUCAUAAAGCAAUGCCCGUGAUGAUUUCAGAUAACGUCAUGUAUUGAGCGUCACAGAUUAAAUCGAUCGACGUUUUCUUCGAAAUCGUCACAGAUCAACACAAUCUAUGAUGUUUUUUACCUGUCACAAAACACCCUUAGGCCCGUGCAGCAGCCCAGGCCUAGUGUUUGUGACGAAAAUAAACAUCACAGAUGGUUGCCACGUGGCUGGUGAUGUGGUUGAUGACGUGGACGAGGACAUGGCUAGUGACGUCAUUGAUGAUGUGGCCAGUGACGUCGAUGACAUGGAGAGGCUUCACCAUAGUAUUUUGUAUCGCCGUUAGACCUAUCGUUUAUUUCCGCUGCUUUUGAACUCUGAACGCUACUUUUAUGCAUGUGAACUAUAGGCUUGUAAUAACUUAAUGUGGGACCUGUAAUAAUUUAUCUGGAUUGUUGUAAUCUUUGGACUCGUCUUCGUGCGAGUAUACUUUGUUUCGAUCCGAAACACAUGGUUGCAUCGGGUGAAACCCGACAGACUACCAAUUUAAUUCGAUUAAAGUGUCUAUUCACAUUUAAGGCUAUGUUGAAUAUACUUUAGCCGGGUUAACUUGGAUGGUUCUACCACACUGGCGCAUCCCUGAGGAUUCCUAUCUGCUUGCUCGAUGUCAUCUGUAUCUGGCCCUGUGAUAAGGGCGAAGAGUUCAUUGUCUAGAGAGAGGCUUCCAGAACUUUGGGUGAUGACUUAUUUAGAGUCAUUGUCUUCAUGGAUAGAAGACAAAGGUGAUCCCUCCUAGUACGGAAGAACGUUGAGAUGGGCCAUGAAGUGUGAUUCGUUGUCCUGGGCGAGGGUAGGUAGCCUCAUGCCAGGCUAGUAGAUGAAUCUGCCUUGAGGGGUUGAGGUGAUCACCAGGCCCUGCUGCGAACCUGUUAGUGGAGUCUCCUCGUCGGAAUCCAAGUAGUGAUCGUAGUUGUGGUCCUUAAUCGGACAUGAGUUAGAUUGCAACCCGGAUAAGGCUGCUUGAUAGGUGGAAGCUGCGUUACAGAGUCCGAAUGGGAGUUGGCUCGGAAUUUGACUUGAUUCGCACGAUGCAGAACCUGACAAGAUAACCUGCUGGGGUAUUACGUCAAUAGAUCAACCAAAAGAAUGCGCAAUAAUAUCUACCACCAAAGGCAACCCAAAAGCAUUAUCUACCUAUAGUGCCAGAUCAGUCAUCAACAAAGAUCUAUGGAGACCUUGUUUUCUCUUGCUUUGGAUUUGGAGAUAGCAUAGAACAAAAGCCUUGAACCUACAUAAACAAAGAAAAAAAGUACUGCAGUGCUAAAAAUAAGAAAUACCUCGUAGAAAAAUACCAGUAAUGGGUUUAUGGGUUCCCACUCAUCCUUGGGUAGCCACUUCUCUAGAGAGAUUCUUGUGUGUUCCGGUGUUGUAGUUUUCUGCGCAUGAUACAUAGCAACAUAAGGGCUAUUCCCCAACCUCAUAAUUGAUAGUAAUGUACAUCUUCUGGAAAGGACCUCUUUCUGUUGCAAGUGUGACUGCCACGCUCAUGCCAUUAAAGAAGUUAGCAGUUCGGUUAGGCAAUUAGUUGCCCACAGGAGGAAAGUAAAGCAACCGUGGAGAGUGCAGAGGCGUCUUUCUAGCUCCAGCAUCACCAAGCACACCACACCAGUCAUCAGCUAAUCUGAUGACAUGGCAGGAAAUUUAAGAGGGGAGAGAAGGAAUUAGUUUCAUCUAGAUGAAAUUCUUCUCGCAAUAAACCAACUCUGAAUGUGUCAUGAAAUUAAAUGUACCCCAUGCCGCUUUUUGUGCGCUCUUAUUAAUGUCGCUUUGUCUAAGUUCAAUACACUUACCAAGACUAUCGCAUUUGGUGACUGGCACUCCACCUAAGGGUACCCAGAUGGUUGAUUUGUAAACACAGAGGAUCGCAAGACCAUGAACUACUUGAUGGUAAUGCAAGGCACAAGACAUAGAGAUUUAUACAUGUUCGAGCCGUUAGUGUAGCGUAAUACCCUACGUCCUGUUUUGGGGGAUUGUAUUGCGCCCUGCGCUCGGGUGUUGGUUGUUGUGUUGAGGGAUUGGCCGUCCUCCUAGGGGUACCCCUACGUACCCUUAUAUACUCCCCUAAUAACUCUUCUUAAUAGGAUAGAUUACCAAGUAGAAUUAAUUAUGCAUGCACGCUUUCAGUAAUUGUCGCACCUAUUAGCCUUCCUUAUUUAGCGAGACUUCCUCGGGCAUCGAUGGUGUGCCGUUUCUAUAGUGAACGGUAAUGAAUGUGGACACUUUUAUGAGUGCUGACACGAAAGGUUCAAUUUGUAUGAAUGAUCUUCUGUAGGUACACUAACCGCGCUUACGUUACGUUAACAAAAGGUUAGAGAAUUGACUAGUUAUUAUAGGAAGAGCCGAAAACUGUUGCCUCGCCACCAGCACUAACCCCGUAAGUCCAAGUAAUUGGCAGUUCUUUCAUUUGUGAGGACGCAUAGGUCAUGCAUGCAUCAUGUUAAAAACUUGCAAAUUGGAAAUUGGAACAACUUUCCUAUAGAUGAUUGGGAGGACUAAUGUCACUCUCACAAAAAAUUUUGCCAAAUCACCUAAGGAUUUUCUAGUUGUCUCGAACUGCAGCUAACUACUGUCAGAAAUUUUUUUCUCCGAGCUCUUAAAUGGUCUUGGUUCCAGAAUUUAGUAAAUGAUAUGCUGUAAAAAUUUCAUAAAUUUUGGUCAAGUGAAACUCGAGUUAUGCUUGAAUAACUAACCCACUGUUUGCAAACUGCCACUAAGGUUCACAGGUAGCUCUGAAUGUUCGCUUCUCUGUUGAACAUUACUCUGAAACCUAGCAGAAAAGGGUCGAACAGGGACAGCCAGUGCAGCCAAGAAUCCAUGAACUAAGGUCAAUAUCAAGAAGUAUGUCUGAAGCUAGUAGCAGUGGUUCAGGCUCCAAGUACUUCUUGCCAAAAUUGUGUCCUCCCGGGUUGACUCGUACCCAAAGGAGGAAGUUGCAGAGGUUAAGGCUGCAGGAGAAGAGGGAACAGAAGCUGGAGAAGCGAAGGAAUGAGGCAUUCAACACGAAUAGACCCAUAGUCCCUCAGAAGAAGGAGUGGAGAGUUAAGGCCGAUACCCCCAACUCCACCAGUCAGACUUGCAGAAGGACCGGUCGGACCUAGUGCGGUCGGCAUGGUCGGGGCGGUCACUGGCGCAGUCGGCGUGGUUGAUGACUCGGUCGGCGCGGUCGUCGGCGCAGUCAGACCGGUCGAGGGGUCGGCGAGGAGCGACGGCGGGGCAACAAAGUAACCGUGAGCGUGGCGGGGCGGAGCUUGAGCGGCGGAGGCGGAUGGGAGGGGUGGAGGCGGCGGUGGAUGUGGAGGGGAGGUAGCGGAGGGGGAGGAGGAGGAGGAGGCAGAGGAGGCCGGCGGUGGGCGGAGGAGGUGGAGGAGGGUGAGGAGGAGGAGGAGGCAGAGGGAGGUCAGGGCUGGCGGGGGGAUUUUCUUUUUUUAAGAACAUUCAGCCUUAUUAUCACCUAGCGGAGGCGGAUGGAGUUCCACAACAUGGUGUAUCGGACGGGCAUUUCAUUGAAGUCCCUAGGGGCGUCUAAUGGGUGGCUGUAGUGGGUGUACAUCACGACGAGCGUCUGUAGCCAUUGCGACAGCCUAGAGCACGACAACGAGGCGGAAGACCCCGUCAUGGGUGAAGAUGGCCAGCGUUUUUUUAAAAAAACUUACAGGUGGCCAGUGUGGUGGGCAUGAUUGGGCUUAUCACCAGUGGCGGAGGAGGCGGACGCACGAAGCGAUGGGAAUGGCGCCGAGUUUGGUCGAACCAUCUGGAAACCAGAGUUGCAACGCUUGCACUGGACGGCUGAGAUUUACGAUGCUCGAUAUCUGACGGGCGAAAAAGGGAGAGACUUGGCCCAAUCACUGCAGAGAAACUUCACCGGAAAUCAGGGUAAGCCUAAUAAUUUUGGCAGCUGUGUAUAUUUAGAUGCAUAUAAACAUUUAUAAACCUAAAACAUUAAAAUGACCUGCAAUUAAAAAUGGAGGGGUAAAAAAGAAGGCCCCGACAAACGUGUCAGCACAUUCCUGCCUUUCUCCCCCCAAUGAGUAAACUCCAAUCCAAAAUUUGACUGUAUUUUGUUAACGGUUAUAUUUCAUAAGUUUGAUAACAAUACCCAGCUAGGGCUAAUGAUGAUAUGAAAUUGGCCACAAUUUUUGUUCUUGGGAGGUAUCUGUGAGGUGAGAAAAUGGGCAACAUGUGUGGAAAAUGCUAAUACGCCUACCGUGUGGCAUAUUUUGCGUUGUACCACAUACUUACCAAUACUGAUACAAGAUAUGCUCAAUACCCCUCAAUCCAACUUACCAAUACUGAUACAAGAUAUGCUCAACUUGUGAACUUAACUGAGGUAUAUGCUUUCUAUGUUCGUCCGUUCCAGCAAUUGUCUAAGGCAACGCGAAAUCCAGUUACUGUGGGCUAAUAACAACCUAUCUGUUGGUGUUUCUUGGUGUCUAUGGGUGUGCUUCUGAUUUGCAUGCUUUUUUUGUUUGUUGUGUGAUGAAAUAAGGCACUAUGUACAUCUUUGCUUAUUAUUUCCCACUGAUAUAUGGGUACGGACGUGUAAUCAUUAAUUGUGAUAUUCAUUCAGCUGACGACAGUCAGUUGACAUCACUUGAAAGUAUGCUUGAAUUCGUAAGGUGUCCCGUGCAAGUAGCGUGGCUACAACCGCGGCAAUAUUUUUUUCUGAUCAAAAUCGAUCGUCCUUUUUUGUUGAAAAGAUAAGUAUGAUAUACUUCACGUGGUGUUAGACUUGCAAAUUUUUGAGUGCAAUAUAUGAGUAAGUAUUCAAUACUAACAUUUUUUCUCUAAACAUUAACUACCAACAUAGCUUAUCAGAUAAUGCAGCAUUGUUUAUCCGACAUGCAUAACCACCUAACACUCAGACACUGAGACACACCAUCCAUUACCGUCACUGAAUCUAUGUCAGCGCGCUGAGCCAGGGUUAGGAACCUCCACUAACUCGUUAGAGGCAAACCCAAGAUCUAGACUGCUUCUGCUUAAUUCCCUCACUAGCUUAAUCCACUAUGAAAUGUAAAUGCACAACACUCUUAGCAAUUCGCUCAUAAGAUUCUUGAAUUUGGCAAAUUUUUGGUGCAAUCUUCACUGCGAGAAAAACGACCUUUUGUCCAACAUAUUAGUACCGGCCACAUUUCAACCCGGUACUAAUACCAACAUUAGUAUGGGAUCCAAUUUAGUAGCCACCGGAGACCUUUUAGUACCAGGUCAUAACACCACCCAAUACUAAAAUGUUGAAGAUAGGUUGCCAACGAAAAGUUACUCUUACUGCUCUUUAGCUCUUGCUCUCUUGAAACUAUUAAUCUUCUAAUCUUUUGAACAACUAUCCUUCUAUUUGAAGCAAUCAUCGGCACAAACAUAUAAGCAAACAAAAAAAGUACAAUUAAGAACAAUACACCAAAACAAAAAAAAGCUUUAAAAGAGUAUAAAGGAUAUGGCUCAAUUCUAAGAUCGCGAGGAUGUAAGAAACACUUAAAACCAAACUAAGGUUGAAAAGACAAAGCUAUUGAGAGAUUUGAAUUAUAAAAGAAAAAGAAAAGCCUACAUGCUUCAUAUAUUUUAAUAAAGAAAACAAUGUAAAGAUAUUUUAGACAAACAUCCUUAUCAAGUUAUAUUUAUAUAUGAAAAGAUCAAUGUAGAACUUCGUCAAAUUUUUAUUUAUAAACAUUAAAGUACAAUUUAGGAAAAUUAAACAUUUAAUUUGAAAAUAAAGUAUAGGUAAACAUCUAAGCGCAUAACUUUAUGAUUCAGGUUGAACUAACCAAAUAUAAUUAAAAAAACACAUUUCUAUUUAUAUUUGUCAAAAUAAAAUUUAAUAAAUAAAACUUGAGAUAUAACCUAUGUAGCUUUUAUUUAUAAAACAAAAUCAAGACACAUUAAUCAAGUUGAGUUUAAUUGAUGAAAAGCUGAGGUAUAUCUCUAAUUAGCUUUUAGUUGGAAGAGUUGCUUAAAUAAGCAUUAACCAAAUUUACAUUAGUUAUCAAAAUACGAGGUUGAACUUUAAUUAGAUUUUAAUUAGAAAAGCAAGUAUAUAAAUACUUAAUCAUAUUAAUAUUUUAAAUAAAUUAUAAAAUAGGGAACAUGAUUAACAUUGCUUCUAACACAUUGUGUUAAGUUGAUAUGAAUCUAACGCAAUAAGAACGAGGUUAAACGGAGGUAAAACAUGGAAUCUAUGGAUUAAACAAGGUUCUAAGGAUCUAAAUAGAAUUAACUAUAGAUCUCAGGGGCUAGCAGAGAAGAUUCACAAGACAUGGAAAUGUGCUUCAAAAAGGCUGAAAGAUCAAGGUUAGAUUCAUAAAUGGAGCUUGGGUUGGACUAGGUUGUAGGAACCUCAUCUAACCAGGGGGUUCUAUGUAAGAGCCGCAAGACUCAAGGAACAAGCUAAACCAUUAAGUGGACCUUCGAGGGUCUAGAUGCAAAAAGCUCAGAGCUUUCUUCCUCAUGGCCGACGGUAGCUUGUACAGCCAAAUCACUGGCGCUACGGGCGGCUGGGGUCUCCGGCGGACGGCACAGGAGCUGGAGGAGGUCCAGGGGAUCUAGUGGAGGCUCUUACCGGUGGCGGAGGUGAAGGGGGCCGGCCGAAAUUCGGAGGCGACAAUGACCGCAGCGGUGGCUCGGGCUCCGCGUGGUGGCAACGCUCCGGUGAUGGAGGGGCGUCGAGGGCUGGCGUCAGUUCUUCGUCUUGGCGCAGGGACACUCCAGGUGGCAUCAGCAUGCUCCAGUUCGAACGUUAACCGCGACAAAACAGGCGGCCAACUCCUACGGCACUUCGGCUCUGGCGAUCGACGGCGCACGGCGCUGCGUGAGCAGGCAAGGUGAGGCGCAGGGCGAGGGAGGAAGAAGGGACGACGCGGAGCCUCAAGCUUGCUAUUUAUAGGGGCGUGGGAGGUGUGCCUUGGAGUGGCGCGCACGAUGAGGAAACGACGGCAGUGGCGCAGUCCGCUUGGUGGCUGGGCUUAGAAGGGCCAAGCUGGGCCAACUAGCGGCGGACAGGUCUCAGCGGGCUGACGCGAGUCAAGCCCACAGCCUCGGCCCAAACUGAUAGGAUAGGUUUUUUUAUUAUUUUUAGAAAAUAAUUUCCUGUGGAAGGAAAAUCCAGAUAAAUCAAGAUAAUUCAAUAAAACCUACAAAAAAUACUCUAAAAAUGCCCAAAAAUUUCAGAAAAAAUCCUAGUGGUAGAUUGGGACACGAGGAAUCCAAAUAAAAUACUUGGAGCCCAUGAAAAAGGAAUUAGAGCCUUCUACUAAAUAGAUUUAUUUCUAGGAAAAUGAGAAUAAAUACCAGAAAGAUCUAGAAAAUUCUGAGGAGAAUUUGGUCGUCGUCUAAAUGCAUUUUUGAAACUUUUUCACUCAUAAAAUACUAUAAUGCAUCGGCAGGAAUGCAAAACACGUAGAAACAUUUUAUUUCUUUCAAAAUCAAUCAAUUGUUUUCCUAUACUACAUUUCCUGUCAAAAAAAUAAAUGUUGAAAUUUUUUUAAAAUUAUGAGAAAAUCAUUGUUUAAUUAUUAUUUUUAUUUAAUCACAUCCUAAAAUCUAAAAAUUUCAGGGUGUGAAUAAUCCACCCCUAUAAAUCCAUUUUUAGAGGUGGAUGAAUUGCUACAGUAACACCUAUUUUUUGGUUGGGGGGAUUUCUCAUCCAGCCAAAAAAAAUCAAGUGACACCUAAAAAUCAUUUUUUAGUAGUGAUCGUACACGCGCUUCACUGCCAUGAACGCCGCCAUGCAUACCGAUCAACCAGCCGUCGGCGCCAUAGAUGGUGGCAUUCCGGUUCUUUCCCCAGUGUGGCAGGCCGCCGUACUUGCCCAUUGCCAUCUGCAUCUUGAUCUCGUCCACGACGUCCAAGUUUUGCACUGCACUAUGGACAAAAUAGUGCCCAUUAGGUUUUCCAUGUGAAUUGGCCCAAGGUACAUUCAACUUAUUUUGGCUGGCUUGGUCCCAUAGUUUGAACCCAGAUUUUGGAUCUUUCCGCAUUUAAAUUGGUGCUGCUGCUGCAUUUAUUUGAUAAUGGUUCAAGAUAUGGAACCAUACCACAAAGGUAACUCAUCAUUAAUUUAGAAGGGUGCACAGAUUCAUGUAAUAAAUAAUCUACACCACCUAAGAUGUGUCUCUACCUCUAUAUAAACAAGAGCAAUCAAAGCAAUAUGUGCAUACUGGAACAAAAUAUCUACAGGCAUACCAAUAGUGUUCCUUUUCAUACGGCAGUGAUCAAGAGCAACGCAGUGAGGUCUAUGUGUGCUGCACUUUGCAUUCUUUUGAUAAUGUCUUCAGCCCUCUCAGAGCUGGUGGAAGUUGUGUAUCUAACUGCUUUUCUACUUCCCAUGGUUUCAUUAUAUUCGUGGGGUUUACUAGGUGCGAUGUGGAUUUCAUGCACAUGAUCACGCUGAGUGUGACCCUAUGGACUGAUGCACUGAUCCGAAAUGCGAGGAUGAAUGUCAGAACAAAAAUAUUGACCUACCUAUUGAACCUGAGUGCACCACACCUAAGGAGUGUUGCUGCACAUUUUAUCGGGAGGAAGAUAAUUCACUUCUUUGAAUAGAUUAAAAUGGUUGCCGAUGGCUAGAUUAAUUUCAUGGAUGCAGCCGAUACCAGAAUACUACGCUUGCAUGUAAUGCAUCCAUAAUAUGUUUCUACCCAAAUCUAAUAAAAUAAAUGUGUCCCAUUUGUCCUCUUUUCCUCUAGUGUUUUUUUACUCCCAAAUUCCAUGCUAAUAAAUGCUGUAUACAUGAUUUUAUUUUAAAAGCAUUUCUGAAUACAUUUAAUUUGAUAAGUUCAAACACCGAGUGAGUCUUCUAUCUAUUGUAGGCUUAUGUUUAGUGAAGUGUGCCGGGCCUACUACUUCGGUGUUGGGCUGAGCCCACAUGAGAGCAGCUCCAGCGUUGCUCUUUUGAGGGUGCUCCAAGGAGAGAGAAAAAUAUUCUCCGGCAGCUUCACGCUGGAUCAGAGGGUGCUAGGGAGGUGCUAGGGAGCAGCUGAUGAUGAGUUUUGCACCAGGCGCUACGCAUUCAAUAUAUUUUCUGAAGUAACGUGGUUGGAUGGAUAGUUGAGAUAGUGGGAAACAAAUGCAGAUGCGCUAAUGACCAUCAAUCCGAGGACUCCGCCACCCAUGCACUUAGGUAAAAAAAUUCCUCAACCACUUUCACCAAGCACUGAGAUGCCACUGCAACCGAAACAUAUGCCGUAGACUUUUGGAGCAUAGCCCAUGUACGAAGCUAGUGGAUAACUGUAAAGAUAACCUGCAUUGGAUGAGAUAAGGGUUUGUUUUCAAAUACCAUAGCAUUCUUGCAGAGCAACAAUAACAACAUAGUAGCAAUCACCCCAAGUAAAUAAUGCCCGUCAACCAAGUGCCAAAAAUAUUUUCUAGGCUAAGGGGCUUGAGAAAGACUUCAGGUGCAAACAUAUCCGUAUUAUCCUCACUGAAUGGUCAUAAGUGUUUCCCUUCGGUUGCCGACACAAGACAUCCGACGGGGAAGGGUGACUAACGCCACUACCUGGUAAACUAAGUAUGCUGGAACUUGUCCACUAAGGUUAUAGUCUAGCUAACUCAGCAUGGGUGCCCAUAUUUCUUAAUUAUGUUUCCGUUGGUUGAUAACAUACCCAUCGGCAUCCUAUCGUCAUGACUUAAUGAAUCCCAAUAUCUUCUAGACUAACGUUUACUUACAUGAGUAGGGUGUGUAUGCAUUUGUGGUUAACAGGUAUUUACUUUAAGGUCGGCUGGGCCGGCUUUCUCGAUGUGUCUAAUUAUGCUUAAGAAAAAGAACCACUAGUGGAAAACUCAGUUUUAGUCCCGGUUGCAGACACGCAUAGAUCUCAAAAAUCCAACCGGAACUAAUCAUUCAGACUGUAAUAAUAAAAUUUGUUUGAAAUCAAAUGCAUUGCAUUUAAAUUUUCAUGGGCAUUUAAACCUUUUUCAAAAUAAAUUAAUGAAUCAUAGGAGUUCGUUGUUGCAUUCACGAUGGUGCAUUAUUUUUGGUUGCUUGAAUUCAAAUUUGUGUUUGAAUUCAUUUGUUUGACUCUUUUAAACAAAUAGGAAACCCUUUUCUUUUCUUCCUUUCAGCCUAUUUCUUUCUUUGGGCCCACUUCCUUCUCUUUCGCCCAGCAGCAAAACUGAAUAUGCACUUUGAAGAUAAACAUGCGAACCAUCAAAGGGCAGCAGACAACUUAAAUACGCGACGGAGCAUUGUAAAUGGCAGAGUAGCCUUGCUGCCACGAUCCACUGAGAUCCAGCCCCACAUCGCACGAAUUCCUCCCUCCCCCCUCCACCCCCGACAACGGCUUCAGGCUCGGACCCGCUACGACGACCAAGGACAAAUGCGCUCAAGGCUUGGGAAGAAAUUAACUUCCAUUGUCGGAACACUUGUUAAGGAUUACAAGAGACCAUAUCGCAAGUUUAUCUUCUUAGGUAUGGUCCACAAUGGAAGAGAGACCUCCUAACUUGACCAAGCCGAUGUACACACUACCAUUUGGCACCAAUCAGGCCAAGUCAGAUAGGUGCCAGUGGAGUUCCAUAUUCCACUACGUCCGCCAUGUAACUCAUAAUCGACCACCAGGGAGGGACAUGUGUGGGAUGGAUCGAAGACAAGACAAUGGCCAACACACGCGUGGACAUACCGGCCACAGGGUACGAUUACGUGUUUGUUGGACCCAACACAUGAAAAUAGCUGCGUUGGCCAUGAAAAUGUUUCCUAUAGGUCACACCUAGUGGCAUCAAAACCAUUUAGUGCCACUAACUGGUUGUGAUGAUUGAUGUCACAAACGGUUCUUUGUGCGUAGCCAGUUUAUAGCUGUAAUUCCAUCGAACCUGUUCUAGUACCUUGAACAACUGGUUCUUGAUGAGUAGCCAGGAGUGACGUUCCAUUUGUAACUAUUUAUUCUCUAUUAGUCUAAUGUUGUCAUAAAUGAUUUGCGUUGUCAGUUUAUAUAUGCACUUUGGCAGCCUGGAUGUAUGUCUUUUGAAGUAUGUGUAACUUUCUCUAGAAUUGAGGAACUUUAAUUGACUAAGUGGUCUUGGAUUUACAGCAUCAACCACUAUAAUUAGCCAUUGCUCCAAUGGCCCAUUUUUUCCGUUAAUGCUAUAUGAUCCGACACCAAUAUGUGUACAGACAUAAGAGCAUCUGACGAGUAUCAUUUUACGGUGAAGACAUUGGAUCCCCACUCGCAGUAACACAUUGCAAAUGCGAAAAGCAGGACCGGGUCUCCCCCUGCAAUAAAUGCCAUUUUAACUGGUCCUAUAAACUGUUUUCUAGUGGUGUGAUGUAGUCUGUUGGAAUCAGCACCGUGGAACCAUCUGACAUUCAUACAUUAGCUUCACCAAACAAAUAUUCUUCUGUGCAUUAAAGCUUCAUACUUCAACAUGUACAAGUUCUCUAUGUAGGAUAUUUCAGCUAGAAGAUCUUCCCUUUCUUGAACUAGCCAUUUGAGCAUUAUUCAUUCUCAGGCCCAUGGUUCCAACGGCUUGCACGUUCUUGGAAUGUGUUAUCAUGGAAUGCUAGGGGUAUCGAUUCGUAGACAAGAUGGAAUGUCGUCAAGAGCAAAAUAUCUGAAUCCAACUGUGAUAUUGCCUGUUUACAAGACACCAAAAAGGAGUUUUUUGAUGCUAGAUAUAUUAGGAAUUUCUAUCCCCCACAGUUAGAUUCUUUCGAUUUCAUCCCAUCUAUUGGCAACUCAGGGGGAACUAUUAUAGUGUGGAAUGGUUCCAAAUUCAAGGGGGAACCUAUCUUUCAAAAUCUUUAUGCCCACUUUGUAGAUUUUCAGUGCAAGCUAUCAGGGGAACGUUGGAUCCUCACGAAUAUCUACGCCCCAUGUACUCCGGAGGGGAAGCUAUCCUUUAUUGACUGGUUCAAAAGGGUUGAAAUACCAGAGGAAAAAAAUUGGCUAAUAGUUGGGGACUUCAACCUUCUUAGGAAGCCGGAUGACAGAAACAAUCAGGGGGAAACAAUCCGGGAGGAAAUGUUCAGGAAAUGCUUCUCUUCAAUGAAGCUAUUAGCAGGCUUAGGCUCAUAGAAAUUCAGCUCAAAGGAUGCAAGUACACUUGGUCCAACAAACAGCAGAAUCCUCUUCUGGAGAGGCACGAUUGGUUCUUCAUAUCUAACCCUUGGACCAUCUCCUAUCCCAAUACUUAUGCCUCAUCACUGUCCAGUGACUCCUCAUAUCAUGUUCCUUGUGUAGUCUCGAUCUCUAAUACCAUUCCAAGGCCACAAGUUUUUAGAUUUGAGAAUUAUUGGCUAGAACAUGAUCGGUUCCCAACCAUUCUCCAACAAGGUUGGGCAACUCCACUUCUAGGCACAGAUAGGGCAAAGAAUAUCGGGGCCAAGUUCAAAAACCUGAGGAAGGUUUUCAGGAUCUAGAAAGCAUAGCUCCCCAGUCUGGCGAAAGCAAUCCAGAGCACCAAAGACACCAUUCAACUCCUUGACAUCAUUGAAGAACUUAGAGAUCUUACCCUGCAAGAACGGAACUUUAGAGAAGUCAUCACAUCACAUCUGAAUAGCUUGCUCCACCAACAAAAAGUCUAUUGGUAGCAAAGAAGCUCCAUCAAUUGGGUCAAAAUGGGGGAUGAAUGUACAAAAUUCUGCCAUGCAAGGGCCUCAGUCAGAAAUAGAAUCAAUUAUAUCACUUCUUUAGUUGAUGCCAAUGGACAAAUUGUCUCUAAACAUGAAGCUAAAGCCAGGAUUCUUUGGGAAGCUUAUAAGGAAAGGAUGGGGAGAUUUGAAUUUACUCACAUGUACUUUGAUCUUUCUACUAUCUUGACAUCAGAUCCAAAUUUGGAAUGGCUAGAAUCUCUCUUUAUGAAAGCAGAGAUCGACACAAUUACAGGGGAACUUCCAAGUAACAAGUCCCAAGGCCCAGAUGGCUUGAAUGGAGAGUUUCUCAAGAGAUGGUGGGACUUGAUAGCUGAAGAUUUUUAUAGACUGUCUGAAGGUUUUCAUGACAUAAGUGUGUGUGUUCAGAGCAUGAAUGCUUCAUACAUCACACGAAUCUCCCUCCUAAACUCAACCAUCAAGCUAAUAACUAAAAUUCUAGCAGAAAGGCUACAACAGGUAAUCUUAAGACUAGUGCAUAAAAAUCAGUAUGGUUUCAUAAAGUCUAGAUCCAUACAAGACUGUUUAGCAUGGGCUUUUGAAUAUCUUCACAUUUGUAAAGCCUCAAAGAGAGAAUUAAUCAUCAGCAAGCUGGACUUUGAAAAAAGCCUUUGAUAGGAUUGAGCACCAAGCCAUUUUGGAUAUCUUAAAACAUAAGUGCUUUGGGACAGAUGGAUUGGGUGGAUAAAGGACAUUCUCAACACUAGAACAUCUUCAAUACUCCUCAAUGGUGUGCCAGGGAAAGUCUUUCAUUGCAGAAGAGGUGUCAGACAGGGGGAUCCUCUAUCCGCACUUCUAUUUGUUCUAGCAGCGGACCUUUUUCAGUCAAUCCUAAAUAAAGCCAAAGAGGAAGGAAGCUUACACCUACCGAUCCCUGAAAGAGCUGGACCUGACUUCCCAGUUAUACAAUAUGCAGAUGACACCCUUCUGGUCAUGGAAGCAGAUCCUUCCCAGUUGUUGCAUCUCAAGCAUCUGCUUAAUCGGUUUGCGGAGUCAACUGGUCUUAAAGUAAACUACAACAAGACUGUUAUGGUACCUCUGAACACUUCUGAGGAUAAACUCCGACAACUUUCGUCAAUGUUCGAUUGCCAAGUCGGAAGCUUGCCACUCACCUACUUGGGGCUACCACUUGGUGCAACAAAGCCUAACAUUGAGGAAUUCCUUCCAUUAAUACAGAAGGUGGAGCGAAGAUUGGGAGGCAUCUCUAACAUGUUAUCUCAAGGGGGCAAACUCGAACAGGUAAAUUCAGUCUUUUCUUCCUCACCAAUGUUUCAUAUGGCAACCUUAAAGCUUCACAAGGGGGUUAUCACACAAUUAGAUAAUUUUGGCAGCUGUGUAUAUUUAGAUGCAUAUAAACAUUUAUAAACCUAAAACAUUAAAAUGACCUGCAAUUAAAAAUGGAGGGGUAAAAAAGAAGGCCCCGACAAACGUGUCAGCACAUUCCUGCCUUUCUCCCCCCAAUGAGUAAACUCCAAUCCAAAAUUUGACUGUAUUUUGUUAACGGUUAUAUUUCAUAAGUUUGAUAACAAUACCCAGCUAGGGCUAAUGAUGAUAUGAAAUUGGCCACAAUUUUUGUUCUUGGGAGGUAUCUGUGAGGUGAGAAAAUGGGCAACAUGUGUGGAAAAUGCUAAUACGCCUACCGUGUGGCAUAUUUUGCGUUGUACCACAUACUUACCAAUACUGAUACAAGAUAUGCUCAAUACCCCUCAAUCCAACUUACCAAUACUGAUACAAGAUAUGCUCAACUUGUGAACUUAACUGAGGUAUAUGCUUUCUAUGUUCGUCCGUUCCAGCAAUUGUCUAAGGCAACGCGAAAUCCAGUUACUGUGGGCUAAUAACAACCUAUCUGUUGGUGUUUCUUGGUGUCUAUGGGUGUGCUUCUGAUUUGCAUGCUUUUUUUGUUUGUUGUGUGAUGAAAUAAGGCACUAUGUACAUCUUUGCUUAUUAUUUCCCACUGAUAUAUGGGUACGGACGUGUAAUCAUUAAUUGUGAUAUUCAUUCAGCUGACGACAGUCAGUUGACAUCACUUGAAAGUAUGCUUGAAUUCGUAAGGUGUCCCGUGCAAGUAGCGUGGCUACAACCGCGGCAAUAUUUUUUUCUGAUCAAAAUCGAUCGUCCUUUUUUGUUGAAAAGAUAAGUAUGAUAUACUUCACGUGGUGUUAGACUUGCAAAUUUUUGAGUGCAAUAUAUGAGUAAGUAUUCAAUACUAACAUUUUUUCUCUAAACAUUAACUACCAACAUAGCUUAUCAGAUAAUGCAGCAUUGUUUAUCCGACAUGCAUAACCACCUAACACUCAGACACUGAGACACACCAUCCAUUACCGUCACUGAAUCUAUGUCAGCGCGCUGAGCCAGGGUUAGGAACCUCCACUAACUCGUUAGAGGCAAACCCAAGAUCUAGACUGCUUCUGCUUAAUUCCCUCACUAGCUUAAUCCACUAUGAAAUGUAAAUGCACAACACUCUUAGCAAUUCGCUCAUAAGAUUCUUGAAUUUGGCAAAUUUUUGGUGCAAUCUUCACUGCGAGAAAAACGACCUUUUGUCCAACAUAUUAGUACCGGCCACAUUUCAACCCGGUACUAAUACCAACAUUAGUAUGGGAUCCAAUUUAGUAGCCACCGGAGACCUUUUAGUACCAGGUCAUAACACCACCCAAUACUAAAAUGUUGAAGAUAGGUUGCCAACGAAAAGUUACUCUUACUGCUCUUUAGCUCUUGCUCUCUUGAAACUAUUAAUCUUCUAAUCUUUUGAACAACUAUCCUUCUAUUUGAAGCAAUCAUCGGCACAAACAUAUAAGCAAACAAAAAAAGUACAAUUAAGAACAAUACACCAAAACAAAAAAAAGCUUUAAAAGAGUAUAAAGGAUAUGGCUCAAUUCUAAGAUCGCGAGGAUGUAAGAAACACUUAAAACCAAACUAAGGUUGAAAAGACAAAGCUAUUGAGAGAUUUGAAUUAUAAAAGAAAAAGAAAAGCCUACAUGCUUCAUAUAUUUUAAUAAAGAAAACAAUGUAAAGAUAUUUUAGACAAACAUCCUUAUCAAGUUAUAUUUAUAUAUGAAAAGAUCAAUGUAGAACUUCGUCAAAUUUUUAUUUAUAAACAUUAAAGUACAAUUUAGGAAAAUUAAACAUUUAAUUUGAAAAUAAAGUAUAGGUAAACAUCUAAGCGCAUAACUUUAUGAUUCAGGUUGAACUAACCAAAUAUAAUUAAAAAAACACAUUUCUAUUUAUAUUUGUCAAAAUAAAAUUUAAUAAAUAAAACUUGAGAUAUAACCUAUGUAGCUUUUAUUUAUAAAACAAAAUCAAGACACAUUAAUCAAGUUGAGUUUAAUUGAUGAAAAGCUGAGGUAUAUCUCUAAUUAGCUUUUAGUUGGAAGAGUUGCUUAAAUAAGCAUUAACCAAAUUUACAUUAGUUAUCAAAAUACGAGGUUGAACUUUAAUUAGAUUUUAAUUAGAAAAGCAAGUAUAUAAAUACUUAAUCAUAUUAAUAUUUUAAAUAAAUUAUAAAAUAGGGAACAUGAUUAACAUUGCUUCUAACACAUUGUGUUAAGUUGAUAUGAAUCUAACGCAAUAAGAACGAGGUUAAACGGAGGUAAAACAUGGAAUCUAUGGAUUAAACAAGGUUCUAAGGAUCUAAAUAGAAUUAACUAUAGAUCUCAGGGGCUAGCAGAGAAGAUUCACAAGACAUGGAAAUGUGCUUCAAAAAGGCUGAAAGAUCAAGGUUAGAUUCAUAAAUGGAGCUUGGGUUGGACUAGGUUGUAGGAACCUCAUCUAACCAGGGGGUUCUAUGUAAGAGCCGCAAGACUCAAGGAACAAGCUAAACCAUUAAGUGGACCUUCGAGGGUCUAGAUGCAAAAAGCUCAGAGCUUUCUUCCUCAUGGCCGACGGUAGCUUGUACAGCCAAAUCACUGGCGCUACGGGCGGCUGGGGUCUCCGGCGGACGGCACAGGAGCUGGAGGAGGUCCAGGGGAUCUAGUGGAGGCUCUUACCGGUGGCGGAGGUGAAGGGGGCCGGCCGAAAUUCGGAGGCGACAAUGACCGCAGCGGUGGCUCGGGCUCCGCGUGGUGGCAACGCUCCGGUGAUGGAGGGGCGUCGAGGGCUGGCGUCAGUUCUUCGUCUUGGCGCAGGGACACUCCAGGUGGCAUCAGCAUGCUCCAGUUCGAACGUUAACCGCGACAAAACAGGCGGCCAACUCCUACGGCACUUCGGCUCUGGCGAUCGACGGCGCACGGCGCUGCGUGAGCAGGCAAGGUGAGGCGCAGGGCGAGGGAGGAAGAAGGGACGACGCGGAGCCUCAAGCUUGCUAUUUAUAGGGGCGUGGGAGGUGUGCCUUGGAGUGGCGCGCACGAUGAGGAAACGACGGCAGUGGCGCAGUCCGCUUGGUGGCUGGGCUUAGAAGGGCCAAGCUGGGCCAACUAGCGGCGGACAGGUCUCAGCGGGCUGACGCGAGUCAAGCCCACAGCCUCGGCCCAAACUGAUAGGAUAGGUUUUUUUAUUAUUUUUAGAAAAUAAUUUCCUGUGGAAGGAAAAUCCAGAUAAAUCAAGAUAAUUCAAUAAAACCUACAAAAAAUACUCUAAAAAUGCCCAAAAAUUUCAGAAAAAAUCCUAGUGGUAGAUUGGGACACGAGGAAUCCAAAUAAAAUACUUGGAGCCCAUGAAAAAGGAAUUAGAGCCUUCUACUAAAUAGAUUUAUUUCUAGGAAAAUGAGAAUAAAUACCAGAAAGAUCUAGAAAAUUCUGAGGAGAAUUUGGUCGUCGUCUAAAUGCAUUUUUGAAACUUUUUCACUCAUAAAAUACUAUAAUGCAUCGGCAGGAAUGCAAAACACGUAGAAACAUUUUAUUUCUUUCAAAAUCAAUCAAUUGUUUUCCUAUACUACAUUUCCUGUCAAAAAAAUAAAUGUUGAAAUUUUUUUAAAAUUAUGAGAAAAUCAUUGUUUAAUUAUUAUUUUUAUUUAAUCACAUCCUAAAAUCUAAAAAUUUCAGGGUGUGAAUAAUCCACCCCUAUAAAUCCAUUUUUAGAGGUGGAUGAAUUGCUACAGUAACACCUAUUUUUUGGUUGGGGGGAUUUCUCAUCCAGCCAAAAAAAAUCAAGUGACACCUAAAAAUCAUUUUUUAGUAGUGAUCGUACACGCGCUUCACUGCCAUGAACGCCGCCAUGCAUACCGAUCAACCAGCCGUCGGCGCCAUAGAUGGUGGCAUUCCGGUUCUUUCCCCAGUGUGGCAGGCCGCCGUACUUGCCCAUUGCCAUCUGCAUCUUGAUCUCGUCCACGACGUCCAAGUUUUGCACUGCACUAUGGACAAAAUAGUGCCCAUUAGGUUUUCCAUGUGAAUUGGCCCAAGGUACAUUCAACUUAUUUUGGCUGGCUUGGUCCCAUAGUUUGAACCCAGAUUUUGGAUCUUUCCGCAUUUAAAUUGGUGCUGCUGCUGCAUUUAUUUGAUAAUGGUUCAAGAUAUGGAACCAUACCACAAAGGUAACUCAUCAUUAAUUUAGAAGGGUGCACAGAUUCAUGUAAUAAAUAAUCUACACCACCUAAGAUGUGUCUCUACCUCUAUAUAAACAAGAGCAAUCAAAGCAAUAUGUGCAUACUGGAACAAAAUAUCUACAGGCAUACCAAUAGUGUUCCUUUUCAUACGGCAGUGAUCAAGAGCAACGCAGUGAGGUCUAUGUGUGCUGCACUUUGCAUUCUUUUGAUAAUGUCUUCAGCCCUCUCAGAGCUGGUGGAAGUUGUGUAUCUAACUGCUUUUCUACUUCCCAUGGUUUCAUUAUAUUCGUGGGGUUUACUAGGUGCGAUGUGGAUUUCAUGCACAUGAUCACGCUGAGUGUGACCCUAUGGACUGAUGCACUGAUCCGAAAUGCGAGGAUGAAUGUCAGAACAAAAAUAUUGACCUACCUAUUGAACCUGAGUGCACCACACCUAAGGAGUGUUGCUGCACAUUUUAUCGGGAGGAAGAUAAUUCACUUCUUUGAAUAGAUUAAAAUGGUUGCCGAUGGCUAGAUUAAUUUCAUGGAUGCAGCCGAUACCAGAAUACUACGCUUGCAUGUAAUGCAUCCAUAAUAUGUUUCUACCCAAAUCUAAUAAAAUAAAUGUGUCCCAUUUGUCCUCUUUUCCUCUAGUGUUUUUUUACUCCCAAAUUCCAUGCUAAUAAAUGCUGUAUACAUGAUUUUAUUUUAAAAGCAUUUCUGAAUACAUUUAAUUUGAUAAGUUCAAACACCGAGUGAGUCUUCUAUCUAUUGUAGGCUUAUGUUUAGUGAAGUGUGCCGGGCCUACUACUUCGGUGUUGGGCUGAGCCCACAUGAGAGCAGCUCCAGCGUUGCUCUUUUGAGGGUGCUCCAAGGAGAGAGAAAAAUAUUCUCCGGCAGCUUCACGCUGGAUCAGAGGGUGCUAGGGAGGUGCUAGGGAGCAGCUGAUGAUGAGUUUUGCACCAGGCGCUACGCAUUCAAUAUAUUUUCUGAAGUAACGUGGUUGGAUGGAUAGUUGAGAUAGUGGGAAACAAAUGCAGAUGCGCUAAUGACCAUCAAUCCGAGGACUCCGCCACCCAUGCACUUAGGUAAAAAAAUUCCUCAACCACUUUCACCAAGCACUGAGAUGCCACUGCAACCGAAACAUAUGCCGUAGACUUUUGGAGCAUAGCCCAUGUACGAAGCUAGUGGAUAACUGUAAAGAUAACCUGCAUUGGAUGAGAUAAGGGUUUGUUUUCAAAUACCAUAGCAUUCUUGCAGAGCAACAAUAACAACAUAGUAGCAAUCACCCCAAGUAAAUAAUGCCCGUCAACCAAGUGCCAAAAAUAUUUUCUAGGCUAAGGGGCUUGAGAAAGACUUCAGGUGCAAACAUAUCCGUAUUAUCCUCACUGAAUGGUCAUAAGUGUUUCCCUUCGGUUGCCGACACAAGACAUCCGACGGGGAAGGGUGACUAACGCCACUACCUGGUAAACUAAGUAUGCUGGAACUUGUCCACUAAGGUUAUAGUCUAGCUAACUCAGCAUGGGUGCCCAUAUUUCUUAAUUAUGUUUCCGUUGGUUGAUAACAUACCCAUCGGCAUCCUAUCGUCAUGACUUAAUGAAUCCCAAUAUCUUCUAGACUAACGUUUACUUACAUGAGUAGGGUGUGUAUGCAUUUGUGGUUAACAGGUAUUUACUUUAAGGUCGGCUGGGCCGGCUUUCUCGAUGUGUCUAAUUAUGCUUAAGAAAAAGAACCACUAGUGGAAAACUCAGUUUUAGUCCCGGUUGCAGACACGCAUAGAUCUCAAAAAUCCAACCGGAACUAAUCAUUCAGACUGUAAUAAUAAAAUUUGUUUGAAAUCAAAUGCAUUGCAUUUAAAUUUUCAUGGGCAUUUAAACCUUUUUCAAAAUAAAUUAAUGAAUCAUAGGAGUUCGUUGUUGCAUUCACGAUGGUGCAUUAUUUUUGGUUGCUUGAAUUCAAAUUUGUGUUUGAAUUCAUUUGUUUGACUCUUUUAAACAAAUAGGAAACCCUUUUCUUUUCUUCCUUUCAGCCUAUUUCUUUCUUUGGGCCCACUUCCUUCUCUUUCGCCCAGCAGCAAAACUGAAUAUGCACUUUGAAGAUAAACAUGCGAACCAUCAAAGGGCAGCAGACAACUUAAAUACGCGACGGAGCAUUGUAAAUGGCAGAGUAGCCUUGCUGCCACGAUCCACUGAGAUCCAGCCCCACAUCGCACGAAUUCCUCCCUCCCCCCUCCACCCCCGACAACGGCUUCAGGCUCGGACCCGCUACGACGACCAAGGACAAAUGCGCUCAAGGCUUGGGAAGAAAUUAACUUCCAUUGUCGGAACACUUGUUAAGGAUUACAAGAGACCAUAUCGCAAGUUUAUCUUCUUAGGUAUGGUCCACAAUGGAAGAGAGACCUCCUAACUUGACCAAGCCGAUGUACACACUACCAUUUGGCACCAAUCAGGCCAAGUCAGAUAGGUGCCAGUGGAGUUCCAUAUUCCACUACGUCCGCCAUGUAACUCAUAAUCGACCACCAGGGAGGGACAUGUGUGGGAUGGAUCGAAGACAAGACAAUGGCCAACACACGCGUGGACAUACCGGCCACAGGGUACGAUUACGUGUUUGUUGGACCCAACACAUGAAAAUAGCUGCGUUGGCCAUGAAAAUGUUUCCUAUAGGUCACACCUAGUGGCAUCAAAACCAUUUAGUGCCACUAACUGGUUGUGAUGAUUGAUGUCACAAACGGUUCUUUGUGCGUAGCCAGUUUAUAGCUGUAAUUCCAUCGAACCUGUUCUAGUACCUUGAACAACUGGUUCUUGAUGAGUAGCCAGGAGUGACGUUCCAUUUGUAACUAUUUAUUCUCUAUUAGUCUAAUGUUGUCAUAAAUGAUUUGCGUUGUCAGUUUAUAUAUGCACUUUGGCAGCCUGGAUGUAUGUCUUUUGAAGUAUGUGUAACUUUCUCUAGAAUUGAGGAACUUUAAUUGACUAAGUGGUCUUGGAUUUACAGCAUCAACCACUAUAAUUAGCCAUUGCUCCAAUGGCCCAUUUUUUCCGUUAAUGCUAUAUGAUCCGACACCAAUAUGUGUACAGACAUAAGAGCAUCUGACGAGUAUCAUUUUACGGUGAAGACAUUGGAUCCCCACUCGCAGUAACACAUUGCAAAUGCGAAAAGCAGGACCGGGUCUCCCCCUGCAAUAAAUGCCAUUUUAACUGGUCCUAUAAACUGUUUUCUAGUGGUGUGAUGUAGUCUGUUGGAAUCAGCACCGUGGAACCAUCUGACAUUCAUACAUUAGCUUCACCAAACAAAUAUUCUUCUGUGCAUUAAAGCUUCAUACUUCAACAUGUACAAGUUCUCUAUGUAGGAUAUUUCAGCUAGAAGAUCUUCCCUUUCUUGAACUAGCCAUUUGAGCAUUAUUCAUUCUCAGGCCCAUGGUUCCAACGGCUUGCACGUUCUUGGAAUGUGUUAUCAUGGAAUGCUAGGGGUAUCGAUUCGUAGACAAGAUGGAAUGUCGUCAAGAGCAAAAUAUCUGAAUCCAACUGUGAUAUUGCCUGUUUACAAGACACCAAAAAGAAGUUUUUUGAUGCUAGAUAUAUUAGGAAUUUCUAUCCCCCACAGUUAGAUUCUUUCGAUUUCAUCCCAUCUAUUGGCAACUCAGGGGGAACUAUUAUAGUGUGGAAUGGUUCCAAAUUCAAGGGGGAACCUAUCUUUCAAAAUCUUUAUGCCCACUUUGUAGAUUUUCAGUGCAAGCUAUCAGGGGAACGUUGGAUCCUCACGAAUAUCUACGCCCCAUGUACUCCGGAGGGGAAGCUAUCCUUUAUUGACUGGUUCAAAAGGGUUGAAAUACCAGAGGAAAAAAAUUGGCUAAUAGUUGGGGACUUCAACCUUCUUAGGAAGCCGGAUGACAGAAACAAUCAGGGGGAAACAAUCCGGGAGGAAAUGUUCAGGAAAUGCUUCUCUUCAAUGAAGCUAUUAGCAGGCUUAGGCUCAUAGAAAUUCAGCUCAAAGGAUGCAAGUACACUUGGUCCAACAAACAGCAGAAUCCUCUUCUGGAGAGGCACGAUUGGUUCUUCAUAUCUAACCCUUGGACCAUCUCCUAUCCCAAUACUUAUGCCUCAUCACUGUCCAGUGACUCCUCAUAUCAUGUUCCUUGUGUAGUCUCGAUCUCUAAUACCAUUCCAAGGCCACAAGUUUUUAGAUUUGAGAAUUAUUGGCUAGAACAUGAUCGGUUCCCAACCAUUCUCCAACAAGGUUGGGCAACUCCACUUCUAGGCACAGAUAGGGCAAAGAAUAUCGGGGCCAAGUUCAAAAACCUGAGGAAGGUUUUCAGGAUCUAGAAAGCAUAGCUCCCCAGUCUGGCGAAAGCAAUCCAGAGCACCAAAGACACCAUUCAACUCCUUGACAUCAUUGAAGAACUUAGAGAUCUUACCCUGCAAGAACGGAACUUUAGAGAAGUCAUCACAUCACAUCUGAAUAGCUUGCUCCACCAACAAAAAGUCUAUUGGUAGCAAAGAAGCUCCAUCAAUUGGGUCAAAAUGGGGGAUGAAUGUACAAAAUUCUGCCAUGCAAGGGCCUCAGUCAGAAAUAGAAUCAAUUAUAUCACUUCUUUAGUUGAUGCCAAUGGACAAAUUGUCUCUAAACAUGAAGCUAAAGCCAGGAUUCUUUGGGAAGCUUAUAAGGAAAGGAUGGGGAGAUUUGAAUUUACUCACAUGUACUUUGAUCUUUCUACUAUCUUGACAUCAGAUCCAAAUUUGGAAUGGCUAGAAUCUCUCUUUAUGAAAGCAGAGAUCGACACAAUUACAGGGGAACUUCCAAGUAACAAGUCCCAAGGCCCAGAUGGCUUGAAUGGAGAGUUUCUCAAGAGAUGGUGGGACUUGAUAGCUGAAGAUUUUUAUAGACUGUCUGAAGGUUUUCAUGACAUAAGUGUGUGUGUUCAGAGCAUGAAUGCUUCAUACAUCACACGAAUCUCCCUCCUAAACUCAACCAUCAAGCUAAUAACUAAAAUUCUAGCAGAAAGGCUACAACAGGUAAUCUUAAGACUAGUGCAUAAAAAUCAGUAUGGUUUCAUAAAGUCUAGAUCCAUACAAGACUGUUUAGCAUGGGCUUUUGAAUAUCUUCACAUUUGUAAAGCCUCAAAGAGAGAAUUAAUCAUCAGCAAGCUGGACUUUGAAAAAAGCCUUUGAUAGGAUUGAGCACCAAGCCAUUUUGGAUAUCUUAAAACAUAAGUGCUUUGGGACAGAUGGAUUGGGUGGAUAAAGGACAUUCUCAACACUAGAACAUCUUCAAUACUCCUCAAUGGUGUGCCAGGGAAAGUCUUUCAUUGCAGAAGAGGUGUCAGACAGGGGGAUCCUCUAUCCGCACUUCUAUUUGUUCUAGCAGCGGACCUUUUUCAGUCAAUCCUAAAUAAAGCCAAAGAGGAAGGAAGCUUACACCUACCGAUCCCUGAAAGAGCUGGACCUGACUUCCCAGUUAUACAAUAUGCAGAUGACACCCUUCUGGUCAUGGAAGCAGAUCCUUCCCAGUUGUUGCAUCUCAAGCAUCUGCUUAAUCGGUUUGCGGAGUCAACUGGUCUUAAAGUAAACUACAACAAGACUGUUAUGGUACCUCUGAACACUUCUGAGGAUAAACUCCGACAACUUUCGUCAAUGUUCGAUUGCCAAGUCGGAAGCUUGCCACUCACCUACUUGGGGCUACCACUUGGUGCAACAAAGCCUAACAUUGAGGAAUUCCUUCCAUUAAUACAGAAGGUGGAGCGAAGAUUGGGAGGCAUCUCUAACAUGUUAUCUCAAGGGGGCAAACUCGAACAGGUAAAUUCAGUCUUUUCUUCCUCACCAAUGUUUCAUAUGGCAACCUUAAAGCUUCACAAGGGGGUUAUCACACAAUUAGAUAAAUAUAGGAAACACUAUCUCUGCAGAGGAUCUAAUUUGAAUUCUAGGAAACCCUCCAAGGCAGCUUGGCCUAUGGUGUGCCUACCAAAACAGCAAGGAGGACUUGGGGUUAUUAACCUGAACAGUCAAAAUGAUGCCCUUCUUCUCAAGUUCCUACACAAGUUCUUCACCAGAGCUGAUACUCCCUGGGUUCAUUUAUUCUAGGAUAACUAUUAUUCUAAUGGGAAACUGCCUGGACAGCACAAAAAGGGCUCAUUCUGGUGGAGAGAUGUAGUCAAGCUACUGGACAAAUACAAAGGAAUAGUGUCGGCAUGGGUAUCGGAUGGCUCUACUGUAUUGUUCUGCAUGGACACAUGGAUUGAGCAGGUCCUCUACCUGGAAUUCCCCCAGUUAUUCUCUUAUGCCAAAAACAAACUGGUAUCAUAUAAGGAGGCUACAAGCAGAAUAUCACUGUCUCAAAAUUUUCACCCACCACUCUCAGAAGAAGCUCAUCAGCAGUUGCUGAUUCUGCAGAAUAGAUUGAGGAAUACUGUGAGAGCUCAAGGCAGAGAUAAGUGGACUUACAUUUGGGGAAGGCCCCCGCUUUUCGGUAGCAAAAACUUAUAAAGUCAUAACGGGCACAAGAACCAUACAUCCAAUUCAUAGAUGGAUAUGGAAAUCUAAAUGCCAAAAGAAGCACAAGAUAUUUUUCUAGCUAUUAAUUAAAUUCAGACUGAGCACCAAAGACAUUCUAAGCAGAAAAACAAUGUAUUUGGAUACUUAUACUUGUGUGCUUUGCAUCCUCCAGGAAAAGGAGACAAUGCCGCACUUAUUCCUGAGAUGCAACUUCUCGAAAGCUUGUUGGAGCACUUCCUCCAGGCCACCCUUUCGGAUUUUUAACUCAAUCAAGGAUAAACUGAACGUUCCCUUCUACAUGGAGAUCAUCAUUUUAAUGGCCCGGAGCAUUUGGUCCGUGAGGAAUGACUGGACCUUUCAACAAUGUCCCCCCUCGGUACAGAGCUGCAAAAGGAAAUUCAUGGAAAAAAUGAAUACCGUCUGUCUACAUAGAGCGAAAUCUUCCCUAGCUCCUACCAUGAUGGAAUGGUUGUAAUCUUUUCUUUCUUUUUUCUUCCUUUGUUGUUGCCUUUUCUACCUUCUACUUCUGUUGUUUCUUGGACUCGCCUUUCAUUUAAUAUAUUUCAGUAGGAGCUUGCCCCUCCUGUUCCUUCAAAAAAAAACUUCGAGCACUUCUCCAUGGGCUUCAUCACCAUAGUUUCGAUUUGGGCAAUUUCAUUGCACCGAACCUUCCAGCUUGCAUUUUCUUAACUGAAUCUCGAGCAUGGGGCAAUAUUCUGGCAUCUACAACGGACCUGCCAUCAAGCAUUCCAAUGUAUAGAUCUAUCCUUUUUGUUUGCCUAAUAUUCGGAUGCAAUACUCCGCCGUGUGUAAAAAAAUCCAAGGCCAACGGACCAUACCGUGUUAACAAUUUUAGUGCCUAAUCCAAUACAAAAUUAGUCCCAGUUUGUACGGCUACUCAUUCAUUGCAGUCUUCAGACGAACUCUACGGUGACACAUUUUUGGAAUACUCUGGCAUGUGCAACUGACCUGCCAUCAAGCACUCCGAUGCAUGGUUCUAUCCUCUUUGGUUGCCUUAUAUUCUGUAAAAAAAAAUAUUCAAGGCCAACAGACCAUACCGUGUUAAAAAUUUUAGUGCCCAAUCCAAUACAAAAUCAGUUCCAGCACCUCCACAGUGAUUAUAUUGUAAUUCAAUCACCAAAAUCCGAAACUAUGGUCUAGUGAAGCUAUACUGUGUACGAAAUAUCAAUUCAUGGGAUUUGUCAACGAUUUUAUGAAGCUGUAUAUAUGAUACCUUCCACUACGGGAUUUGUGUACAAAAUAUUAAUUCAUGAGAUUUGUCCAUGAUUUUAGGAAGCUACAAUAUCUUCAACUACCGGAUUGCGUAUAUAAGAUAAUCUUCACCAGUUAUCACAGGUGGAAGCACGCGUUAAAUAAUAAAUGACUAAUGCUGAUUCAACUCUGAGAUGAAAAGGAUUCUGUUCUCAAGAAUCGAAAAAAAGGUAACGUGCUCAUAACAAUGUCGACUCUUCACAUCUGAGAACUACCUACCGUAUGUUAUUAAAACAUUUUUGCUGCCUAUAAAUUGGGCAUCAUUUCAGCAGGCCACCACGGCACCUGAGCUUGCCAUCUUUUCCUGCUCUAUCUCACUCAUUUGUCCCGUAGCUACUAGCUAAGCCACCAUAUCAUCCAUGGCUUCUGGUGCCUCCACCACGCUGAAGAUGGCCUCUAUCGCCGCUUGCAUCCUGCUGGUCCUGCUGUCCAAUGGCCACCCCACCGCGGCGGCCGUUGAUUGUAUUGCGGCUUGCAAAGAACCGUGCCAGGGUUUUUCUAACGGGCUCUGCGCGGGUGGAGCCACCAGCGGUUGUACGACUACGGCAGCAGCUACAGCAUGCCGCAAUUUGGCGUUCUCGCAGUGUGCGAACACCUGCUUCACAGUUUGCACUGCUGUGAGCAUCGCGCCUUGCACUUGAAGAUGCAUUCGUGUUCCUACUUCCACAUUAUUGUUACUGCAGAAUAAUAUGGGUCAGUGCACACAAGCAUACAUGAUGAGCCACUGUCGUUUUUCCAUUUUGUCAUUUACUUAUUGAAGGCAAUGUACGUUUUUCCAUUUGAUCAUUUACUUAUUGAAGGCAAUGUACGUGUCUAUCUCCUGUGUGGUUGAGCAUGUCAUCUUGGAAUUCUAUCCAAAGUUUUACAUACCAC